GGAAACGGUGGCUAAUACCGGAUGUGCCGAAAGGUGAAAGGUUAACUGCCUGAAGAUGACCUCGCGUCUGAUUAGCUAGUAGGUGUGGUAAUGGGGCACCUAGGCGACGAUCAGUAGCUGGUCUGAUAGGACGAUCAACCACACUGGGACUGAGACACGGCCCAUACUCCUACGGGAGGCAGCAGUGGGGAAUUUUCCGCAAUGGGCGAAAGCCUGACGGAACAAUACCGCGUGAGGGAGGAAGGCUCUUGGGUCGUAAACCUCUUUUCUCAGGGAAUAACCCAAUGACGGUACCUGAGGAAUAAGCAUCGGCUAACUCCGGCCAGCAGCCGCGGUCUACGGACCGAUGCAAGCGUUAUCCGGAAUGAUUGGGCGUAAAGCGUCCGCAAGUGGCCAUGUAAGUCUCCUGUUAAAGAGUCUACCUCAACUAAAUCCCAGCAGGGGAAACUACCUACCCUAAACUACUUCCGGGGCAAAGGGAAUUCCUGGUUACCGGUCAAAUGCGUUAAUAUCAGGAAAACCACCGCUUGGGGAAGGCGCCCUGUUAGGCCGUAACUACACUGAGGGACCAAACCUAUGGGAGCGAUUGGCCUUAAAUUCCCC
rnacentral:rRNA from 1 species